GAUGAACGCUGGCGGCGUGCCAAAUACAUGCAAGUCGAGCGAACAGAUGAGGAGCUUGCUCCUCUGACGUUAGCGGCGGACGGGUGAGUAACACGUGGAUAACCUACCUAUAAGACUGGGAUAACUUCGGGAAACCGGAGCUAAUACCGGAUAAUAUAUUGAACCGCAUGGUUCAAUAGUGAAAGACGGUUUUGCUGUCACUUAUAGAUGGAUCCGCGCCGCAUUAGCUAGUUGGUAAGGUAACGGCUUACCAAGGCAACGAUGCGUAGCCGACCUGAGAGGGUGAUCGGCCACACUGGAACUGAGACACGGUCCAGACUCCUACGGGAGGCAGCAGUAGGGAAUCUUCCGCAAUGGGCGAAAGCCUGACGGAGCAACGCCGCGUGAGUGAUGAAGGUCUUCGGAUCGUAAAACUCUGUUAUUAGGGAAGAACAAAUGUGUAAGUAACUAUGCACGUCUUGACGGUACCUAAUCAGAAAGCCACGGCUAACUACGUG
rnacentral:rRNA from 1 species